GACGAACGCUGGCGGCGUGCCUAAUACAUGCAAGUUGAGCGCUGAAGGUUGGUACUUGUACCAACUGGAUGAGCAGCGAACGGGUGAGUAACGCGUGGGGAAUCUGCCUUUGAGCGGGGGACAACAUUUGGAAACGAAUGCUAAUACCGCAUAAAAACUUUAAACACAAGUUUUAAGUUUGAAAGAUACAAUUGCAUCACUCAAAGAUGAUCCCGCGUUGUAUUAGCUAGUUGGUGAGGUAAAGGCUCACCAAGGCGAUGAUACAUAGCCGACCUGAGAGGGUGAUCGGCCACAUUGGGACUGAGACACGGCCCAAACUCCUACGGGAGGCAGCAGUAGGGGAUCUUCGGCCAUGGACGGAAGUCUGACCGAGCAACGCCGCGUGAGUGAAGGAGGUUUUCGGAUCGUAAAACUCUGUUGGUAGAGAAGAACGUUGGUGAGAGUGGAAAGCUCAUCAAGUGACGGUAACUACCCAGAAAGGGACGGCUAACUACGUG
rnacentral:rRNA from 1 species